UUCCUACGGGAGGCAGCAGUGGGGAAUCUUGCGCAGCGGUAGUAAGGCUGACGCAGCGACGCCGCGUGGAGGACGAAGGCCUUCGGGUUGUAAACUCCUUUUCUGGGAGACGAAUAAGGUGGGCAGGCAAUGGUCCACCGAUGACGGUACCCCAGGAACAAGCGCCGGCUAACUUCGUGCCAGCAGCCGCGGUAAGACGAAGGGCGCAAGCGUUAUCCGGAAUUACUGGGCGUAAAGGGCGUCUAGGCGGCCAAUCAAGUCAACGUUGAAAGCCCUUGGCUAAACUGAGGCAUGUACGUCGAAACUGAUUGGCUCGAGGAACGUAGAGGAAGGCGGAACUCUCGGAGUAGCGAUGAAAUGCGUAGAGACCGAGAGGUACCCCGAUGCUGAAGACAGCCUUCUGGGCGUUUCCUGACGCUGAAGCGCUAAGGCCAGGAGAGCGAAGGGGAUUAGAUACCCCCGUAGUCCUGGCUUAGACGAUGUGAAUUUGUUGUCGGCUC
rnacentral:rRNA from 1 species